rnacentral:misc_RNA from 1 species
GAUGAAGAACGUAGCAAAAUGCGAUAAGUAAUGUGAAUUGCAGAAUUCAGUGAAUCAUCGAAUCUUUGAACGCACAUUGCGCCCGCUGGUAUUCCGGCGGGCAUGCCUGUUCGAGCGUCAUAUCAACCCUCAAGCCCCCGGGUUUGGUGUUGGGGAUCGGCUCUGCCCUUCUGGGCGGUGCCGCCCCCGAAAUACAUUGGCGGUCUCGCUGCAGCCUCCAUUGCGUAGUAGCUAACACCUCGCAACUGGAACGCGGCGCGGCCAUGCCGUAAAACCCCAACUUCUGAAUGUUGACCUCGGAUCAGGUAGGAAUACCCGCUGAACUUAAGCAUAUCAAUAAGCGGAGGA